rnacentral:sRNA from 1 species
AGGGAGAAGAGGCUGCUGACCCAGGAGAAGCUGAGGAGGAACAUUAGGGUUGGAGUUGGGGAAAGGAAAUUGUAUUUUAGAAGUGGGCAUGAGAUUGGGCUGGCACCUGAACCUAGGACUUGGAGGUUCUGGUUAAUCUGAACAGUGAUGACUUCAAAGUGGUUAGAGAAGGGUAUGGUUUCCGAGACCCCUGAACUGAUCCUGUUCUGGGAAGAAAAUGAAGAGGACCCAGAAGAGGAUUUGUCAGAAACAGAGACUCCAAAGCUCAAGAAGAAGAAAAAGCCUAAGAAACCUCGGGACCCUAAAAUCCCUAAGAGCAAGCGCCAAAAAAAGGAGCUGGGGGACAGCUCUGGGGAGGGGCCAGAGUUUGUGGAGGAGGAGGAAGAGGUGGCUCUGCGCUCAGACAGUGAGGGCAGCGACUAUACCCCUGGCAAGAAGAAGAAGAAGAAGCUUGGACCUAAGAAAGAGAAGAAGAGCAAAUCCAAGCGGAAGGAGGAGGAGGAGGAGGAUGACGAUGAUGAUGAUUC